GCACUGCCCUCUCCACCCUGCCCUCAGCCCUCCUCACCCAGCAAGAGGAAGGGCAGCCCCUGCGCCCCGGCCUGUGCCAGGCGAUCCCCAUGCACUGCUGCCCUCCGUAGCCCUCUCUCCACUUCCUCUCAGCGUGGAACCCCCGUUUUCCAGAGGGAAGGGGCCAGGUGUCCCGGGAACCAAACCCUGGGUGCUGACAGAUCUGGGCUCUGGUCUGAUUCUGCGGUGGGAAGAAGCUGGGGUGAGGACACCGCCCCUUCCGGUGUUUGGGGGCAGGGGCUGGGAGGCCGACCCGGAAGUGGGGCUGCGGGAGGGCUGGUCCGCGCUCGGCCCCUCUGGCCCGCCGUCCCUGCCCCCCUGUGGCCUCUCCUCCCCUGUUCUGAUGCCCUCCUGGGCAGGGCCCUGCCAGCCUCCUCCCCGCUGCUGUUUACCCCUCGGGACACACAGGCCUGCGACCUGCGCUUGGAGCUUCCCGCCAGGUCCUGGACCCGGGGUUCGUGUCGCAGCUCCCUACUCUGGGGACCGGGGGAGGGCGUCACACUGGGGGCCCACGGGGCGGUGACUCGGGCUCUCUUCCCCUCCUGCUUCCCUCUCCCUAUCCAUCCUCACCUCCUCCUCCACUCUUCCCCCUCUUCCUGCUCCUCUCUACUCCCUGUCUCCUCCUUCUCUCUACUCCCUCACCCUCUACUUCCCGUCCACUUCCCCUCCUUCCACUUCUUCUCAUCUUUUAUCACCUCCUCCUCCUCCAUCUCUCCUCCUCUUUCCUGUCUUCUACCCCUGCCCUCUUCUCCACCGUCCUCUUUUUCUUCUUCAUCCUCCUUCGUGUGUGACAGUCUCACCACUGAGUGCGGACCAGCCCUGGACUCACAGCGGUCCCCCUGCCUCGGCCUCCCGAGCCGCUGCACCAGCCCUCUUCCCUCACUCCCCUUCCUCCCCGCUCCUGCUGUUCCCCUGUCUUCCCGCCCUCCUGCUCCUCUCGCUUUCCUCCCUCAGGAACCCACCUUCGCCUUCUUCCCCCUCCCCCUCGCCGCCGGCCUCUUCCCUCCGCUCGCUCUCCUCCCGUUCCUCCUCCCUUCCUCUCCCAGCCUCGACCUCCCUUUUCCUCCUCCCCUCCCGUCAUCCCCCGCUUCCUACUCCUCCUCCUGCUGCUUCUCUUCCCUCUUCUUCCCCCUCCCUUUUUCCUGCUCCUAUUCCUCUCCUCCCCCUCCUCCCUCUCCCGCCUCCUGCUCUUCCUCCCCUUUCACCCUCCACCUCCCUGUCGCUCUCCGCUCCUGGUCCGCCCUGCCCCGCUGCGCUCUGUCCUCCCGCUCUGUCUCUCUGCGUCGCCCCUCCCCCUCCGUCAGGCCCGUGCCCCCCACCUGCCCCCCAGCCUUGCUCCCCCUCUCAGGCCCUCUCCCUGCCACCGCCCUCCCCCCUCCUCCUCUGCCACUCUCUCUCCUCCCUUGGUCUCCUUUCUCGCCUUCUGCCUGCUCCUCCCUCUGGUCCCGUCACCCUGCCCCUGGCUGUCCUCCCCGCAGCUCUCUUCCUUGCCCACUUGCUCAACUGUCCUUUCUCCCCGUUUCUGUCUUCUGCUCUUUCUGUCCCACUCCCUGCUGUGAUUCCUGCGCUCUCCCCUCACCUCACCGCCAUCCCUCCCCCUGCUCGGGACCCUGUUUCCCCAGUCUCCGGGAGGCCUCUGUGACACUGUUCUCUCUUUUCUGUCUGUCGGGGAUGCUGGACACCGCCUGGAGGAAUCGGUCACCUGAGGCCCAAGAAACCACAAGAGGAGCCUCAGAGGUUGGAAGGGACCCGCCCAGGUCACACAGCAAAGCAGAGCGUCAGCUCAGAGAGGAUGGGCGCACAGUGUUUCCAGAGACCCGCGACCCGGGACAGAGGCCUGGCUGGACAGCCCGAGAGCCAGGAACCAGACUGGGGUGUCCUCUGUCCCCACCUGCUGGAGGGACACCUGGAUCCAGGAUGACCUCAGAGGAGGUGGAGCUUCCUUGGUGCUGAGAGCACAGAAAGGUGUCUGAGGGGUGUGGCAGGAAGCACGGAGCUCUUCACAUCCUAAGCCCUGCCUGAAGCCUCAAGGCUGGGAGAGCCCAGGAGAUCUCAAGAGGGCGGAGCUGCACAGGACAGUGGGAGCCCUGGGAGAAGAGGGCAGGCGCCUGGGCCUGAAGCCAGCCUGGUGGCACCUAAUGGGUUCACUCAUUAGGGCCUCAAGAGCAGGACUCAGGGGCUGGGAUUUUGUGUUGGGGACCAUGGGGGGGCUGCAGUGAGUUUGGCUCUGGUGUUGAACAUCUGGAAGGACCACCAGUGGGAACCCCAAGACGGGGAUGUCGGGGGGGGGGGCGGUGGGCUGAGGGUGCAGGAGGGAGGAGACAGAGAAGGGAUGAGGCCAGGGGCCCUGGAGGGGCAGGCAGAGGUGGCAGCACGCCAGGCAACGAUCCCGCCGUAACUGUCGACCUUACUCACUGUCCCUGAGGCACGGGGCACUGCUGGACCAGUGGGGCUGUGGGGCUGAAGCUCAGAGGGUCUGAGCUGGAACCCAGGCUUGGGAAUCUUGGGUAAGCAAGGCUGCUUGGAAUCUGGUGUGGUGGGCAGUGGCUGAGAUAUGGAGCAGCCACAAGGCAGUCUGUGUGUCUGUCACACACACACUAGCUUCCAAGUUCCACCUAGCCCUGUUAUGGCUUGUAUCCAGAUGUCCCCCCCAAAGCCUCAUGGGCUCAUAGGUGGCGCUUUCCAGAGCUGGCUGGAUCUAGGAUGUGUGCCACUGGAAUUAAGGGUGUGUGGUAGUCAGUAAGUCCACUGAUUGGCUUAGCAUAGUUCUGGGUGUGGAUGGCACCACCCAAAAGGCAGGUAGCACAAACGGGAUAAAAGGGAAAGGAAGGUUUGCUUGCUCCUCACUGCCUGCCUACCGUGCCAUGGACUGUUUCUCCUCUGUGAUGCCCCUGUGCCCUACCACCCUGCCCCAAAGCCAGCUGUUGACUGAAAUGUCUGUGAACUGUGAGCUAAAAUAAACUUUCCUCCUUCACCUUUGGGUGUUGGGUAUUUUGUCCCAGAUACAAGAAAAGUAACUAAGACAGGCCCAUUUGUGUGGACAAAAUCACGCAGGGACAUGGGGACUGGUGCAGUGCUGCUCUGGACACCAGAGACCACCAACGGGGCCAAGGACAUAAGCACUGAGCCACCAAAGUCACAGAAGGGCCGGAAACCUCAGUAACCCUGCUGAGGAAAGUGGGGAGGAAAAACACACUUCUGCAGAAUGACUCACCUGAGCAUGUAUGUGUCCAGAACAAUGAUCAGGCGACAGAAAAUGCAGGCAGCCUCCAGGAGGAAACUGGACAGGGGCCUGGGGAUAGCAGACAGCUUCUAGCUGUGGCUCCUACUCUAUCUAUGUCCCCCAACCUGGCCAGAGAAAUCACACCAUGAAUGAGCUCUCCCGGGAUAGUUAAGACCAGGAGGGACGUUAAAUAAGGACAGAGCCGAUGCUGGCUAGGACACACUGCAGGGCAAGUGCUGGCUAGGAAGCACCGGAGCCAGGGCUCAGUCCACCAGACCAAAACAAGACAGCCCCACACACCAGCAAGCCAGGCAGAGGGCUGAGAAGCCUCAGCAGUUCUUGUGGGAUAACCCAGGCCAAGGGAGAGGUGUGGGAAGAAAGCAGGGUCAUAAAUCUGGACCCACCCCAGGCAACUUAGCUACGCAGUGAGACCCUACUCAAAAUAAAUGAGAAUAUAGGGGCCCUCGCUGCUGUCAAGUAACAUGGCUACUAGAGUUGCCGUCUUCCUCAAAAUGCUUGGGCCCAGGAGCCGGUGCUGGUCAUGUCCUUCGCUACUGGCAGCCUCGCUAUAAUUCUGCCCCGACUCAGCCCCUACACCAAAUACUCCAUCAUGGUCAACAAGGCCACGCCCUACAACUACCCAGUGCCCAUCUGAGAUGAUGGGAACAUGCCCAAUGGGCCCAGCCACCCCCCAGGACCCCCAGGGCCCCAGCUUGGAGUGGCUAAAGAAACUGUGAGCACUUCUUGCCAUGGGCAGGGAGGCGGCCUCCUCCCCUGGCCCCGAAUAAAAGUGUGAACACCAAAAAAAAAAUUAAAAAAAAAAAAUGAGAAUAUAAAAACAGCUGAGGUGCAAAGGCCUUGGGUUCCAUCCCCAGUGCUCUCCCCCCAAGGAAAAAGCACAGGCUUGGGCCGGGGAUUUAGCUCAGUGGUUUCACCACCUGCUGCACAAGCGCAAGGACCCGAGUUCGAUCCCCAGUACCAAAAAAAAAAAAAAGGCACAGGCUGCCAAAAAGAGUCCUCCGAGGGCCCUGCUGUCGGAAACGCAGGGACACCACUUUCUACCCUGGACCAGCCCAGACCCCGAGUCUGAGAUGCCUGCUGGCGAGGCGACAGGAGGGGAACUGGGGCAGGGCAGGUGGCUGAGGGG
rnacentral:lncRNA from 1 species